UUCAGGGAGCCAUGGUAGACAUGAUGCUUGAGCAUGCCACUGUCAUCAAGAAUGACAGUCAGGUCAUGUUAACUGCCCCCCUCUCUAAUUGCUUUAUAAAAUUUCAUAAACUUUUUAAAAAAAGUGAUAUGCCUCUCAUAGAAAGCAGCAGAAAUUUAGACAUAAACUCAACAUUUUGAUUUUUAACUAGGAAAAAGUGCGCUUAGACUUCAGGAAGCCGUGGUAGACAUGACACUCGAGCAUGGCACUGUCAACAAGAAUGACAAUCAGGUCAUGUUUCCUGCCCGCCUCUCUUAUUGCUUUAUAAAAUCUCGUCAACUUUUAAGAAAAGUGAUAUGCCUCUCAAGUAAGGCAGCAGAAAUUUAGACAUAAACUCAACAUUUCGAUUUUUUUCUAGGAAAAAGUGUGCUUAGACUUCAGGGAGCCGUGGUAGACAUGAGGCUUGAGCAUGGCACUGUCAUCAAGAAUGACAGUCAGGUCAUGUUUGCCACCCGCCUCUCUUAUUGCUUUAUAAAAUCUCGAAAACUUUUUAAGAAAAAUGAUAUGCCUCUCAUAGAAAGCAGCAGAAAUUUAGACAUAAACUCAACAUUUUGAUUUUUAACUAGGAAAAACUGCGCUUAGACUUCAGGAAGCCGUGGUAGACAUGACACUCGAGCAUGGCACUGUCAUCAAGAAUGACAAUCAGGUCAUGUUUGCCACCCGCCUCUUAUAUUGCUGUAUAAAAUCUCGUAAACCUUUUAAGAAAAGUGAUAUGCCUCUCAUAGAAGGCAGCAGAAAUUUAGACAUAAAUUCAACAUUUUGAUUUUUAACUAGGAAAAAGUGCGCUUAGACUUCAGGAAGCCGUGGUAGACAUGACGCUUCAGCAUGGCACUGUCAUCAAGAAUGACAAUCAGGUAAUGUUUGCCACCCGCCUCUCUUAUUGCUUUAUAAAAUAUCAUAAACUUUUUAAAAAAAGUGAUAUGCCUCUCAUAGAAAGCAGCAGAAAUUUAGACAUAAACUCAACAUUUUGAUUUUUAACUAGGAAAAAGUGCGCUUAGACUUCAGGAAGCCGUGGUAGACAUGACACUCGAGCAUGGCACUGUCAUCAAGAAUGACAAUCAGGUCAUGUUUGCCACCCGCCUAUUAUAUUGCUGUAUAAAAUCUCGUAAACCUUUUAAGAAAAGUGAUAUGCCUCUCAUAGAAGGCAGCAGAAAUUUAGACAUAAAUUCAACAUUUUGAUUUUUAACUAGGAAAAAGUGCGCUUAGACUUCAGGAAGCCGUGGUAGACAUGACGCUUGAGCAUGGCACUGUCAUCAAGAAUGACAGUCAGGUCAUGUUUGCCACCCGCCUCUCUGAUUCAUUUAUAAAAUAUCAUAAACUUUUUAAAAAAAGUGAUAUGCCUCUCAUAGAAAGCAGCAGAAAUUUAGACAUAAACUCAACAUUUUGAUUUUUAACUAGCAAAAGUGCGCUUAGACUUCAGGGAGCCGUGGUAGACAUGACAUUCGAGCAUGGCACUGUCAUCAAGAAUGACCGUCAGGUCAUGUUUGCCGCCCGCCUCUCUUAUUGCUCUAUAAAAUCUCGUAAACCUUUUAAGAAAAGUGAUAUGCCUCUCAUAGAAGGCAGCAGAAAUUUAGAGAUAAACUGAACAUUUUGUAGGAAAAAGUGCGCUUAGACUUCAGGGAGCCGUGGUAGACAUGACACUCGAGCAUGGCACUGUCAUCAAGAAUGACAAUCAGGUCAUGUUUGCCACCCGCCUCUCUUAUUCAUUUAUAAAAUAUCAUAAACUUUUCAAAAAAAAUGAUAUGCCUCUCAUAGAAGGCAGCAGAAAUUUAGACUCAAACUCAACAUUUGGUUUUUGCUAGGAAAAAGUGCGCUUAGACUGCAGGGAGCCGUGGUAGACAUGACGCUUGAGCAUGGCACUGUCAUCAAGAAUGACAGUCAGGCCAUGUUUGCCACCCGCCUCUCUUAUUGCGUUAUAAAAUCUCGAAAACUUUUUAAGAAAAGCGAUAUGCCUCUGAUGUAAAGCAGCAGAAAUUUAGACCUCAACAUUUACACAUAUCUUGAAAACAUACACUCAGACAUUUUAAACCUAUACACACAAAACUACUAUAACCCUCCAAAUAUUUCAAAAGAGAAGCAAGAGGCCAUUCGUAGCCUAAAACAAAUAGACAAUAUUUCAAUAAAAAAAGCUGACAAAGGAGGCCAAAAUGUAAUAUGGCCUAAAGACAUGUAUUAAUGCGAGGCCACAAAACAACAUGAAAAUGCAAACUAUUACAAAGAACACCCAGUAGAUCACACAAUUGAAACAUCCGCCGAGAUAACAACUUUUUUAACGCAUCUCCUCCACAACUACCAUAUUGAUGAAACACUUUUCGAAUAUCUUACACCUGACACGAUGGGCAUCCCAGGGAGGCCUAUACUUUCAGGUUGGAGCUCCUCUACGGAGAAACUCUCGUCAUACCUUGAACACUAUCUUAGACCGAUAGUAGAAGGAAGUGCCUCAUAUAUAAAAGACACCACUCACUUUUUACAACAAAUAUUCAAAAUACACACUAGCAUUCUACCAAACUCAUGGCUGGUUACGCUAGAUGUCAAAUCUCUAUACACCAACAUCCCCCAGGACGAGUAUCGAGGCAUGCCUCGAGGCCAUCCGGAAUCAUUAUGGGGACAACCCAACAUUGCAUACAAGUUACAUGAAACAAAUGAUGGUAUUCAUACUUAAACACAACUAUUUUAUCUUUAAUAGUAGAUUUUAUCAACAAAUUCAAGGCACUGAAAUGGGGAGCCCCUUCCCUCCCAAUUAUGACAUCUACAGAAUAACAUAUUUUACACAAUGCCCCAAUAGGGCAUACUCCAAUGUUUUGGAAAGAUUCAUUGAUGAUAUAUUUUCCAUUUGGCCACAUGCCCUUGAAGACCUACAAAUUUUUAUACAAUACACCAAUACCGUCCACGAAACAAUAAAGUUUGAAGCAAACUAUUCCAACACAAAUAUACUUGGAUACAACAAUAAACUUACACAAAUAAGGGAAAGUUACCACCUCACUCUACCAAAAAAACAACAGACACUUGCAAUCUCUUAUACUGUGAUUUUAGCAGCUACAUCUCAAAAGCAAUAUAAAAGAAAGAUUUCUACAACUCUGUUACUGGAAAAUUUAGCAAAAAGGCUUGUUACAUUAAGCAUCGACUCAAGGCUUCCCAUUUUACUCCAGGAAAUAAUCAGAGACCUUUCAAUGGAUGUACUACAAAACUUUUUGGUAGAGUUAGCAGUAUGUGGGGAAGGCAGCCUUGAUUUUUUAAAAGACUUUUGAAAGCAGUGCAAAAUCCAGACAUGGAACUACAGUGUUUGUAUCAUUAUGGGCAAAGAAGAAGAAAAUUAAUGCUGUGGAAGGAAAGUUUGUGUGACAUCAUAUCAUAUGUUCCUGCAAGUUAUGCCUUGACAGGGAUGUCCUAAAGCUAAACAUAACAGCUCGUUGUGAUAUCCAAGCAGAAAACAAGGAAUUAAACAUGAGUCCUUUUUUGCAAAGCAGGGUACAGCCAAUUCGUGCUAUGCAAGUAUGGACGUAUAGGUAAGGGUAAUAGAAACUGGCCAUUAGCCGUAGCACACCUCCCAAGCAUAAUAAGAGGCUAAUACCUCUCUGAAUCGAGGCUCUUAAGUUCAAACAUUGUUAUGGAAAUCCUUGAGAUUGCAAAUCAUUGGAUAAUCAUCAAUGGAGACAGAGUACCCUGGGAAACAGAAAAAGCCCAGAAAUUUGUUUUGGUUCAGAGUUGAGGAGUCAAAGCAAAGAAAAAACGUGUAUGUUGAGAGAUUUAGGCAUGUCCUAUUUUCGUUUCUAGAUCAACAAUGUGAAAACGGAAAAAGGGCCAUGGUAAUGUUCAAGGUUGGUAUUAUUCACUCAAGGUUUCUCAUACACUUUCUUUAAACUCUUGCUAGGUUAGGUAGAGUACCGCAAAUAAACAAACAGAAUGGUAAUGGAAAUUUUCCAAGCUUUGAUUUGUUUUUAUCCAUUUGGUUUCUUUUCAUUGCGCAUGGACUCCAAUGUUUUUACUUGCAUGUUUUUCAGGAGCAUCCCAUACCAAUAACAACAAUUAGAUUAGAAGCGAUCUGUAAGAGGCUUAUAGCCUACAUUACAGCAUUUGUUAUGUUAUGUUAUUCAAGUUGAAUCAGAUUAAGAUAUGUUUUUGUUGUGUAUAUAAUUUGUAAUGUAGCAGAAUUUGAAAUAAUGAUAAACUGAACGAAAUUCUGCACAACAAUUUCACACCUAAGAGUAGCCUAUACGGUGUCGAGUACUUUAUGACAGACGGAUUGCGUGAACAUUAAAUAUAAAUUCAAAAGUCAUUGUGUGAAAUGUUUCGAGAUGAUAUUAUAAAGAAUCAAAGAAAACACUUUCGUACGACGUUUCGCUUUCGCUUCGUCAAUAAAAUCAACCUAAAUGACCAUGGAAGAACAAUAAAAACAAAAGAAACAUAAGGGGAACCUACCUAAUACAAUGGAUAUUGUUAAAUGUAUAAAACAAAAAUUGUUAUGAGGAACCAGGAGAGAAGUUUGUAGAAAAGUAGAGAAUAGAAUGUGACACAGCAGAUGGUGUUUACUGUCUCACAAUGAUAGUAAGAUUUGAAAUUCAAAAGACAAAUCUGAGACAUCAGAUUUCAGAAAUCAGUGGUAAAAGAAAGAGCAAACAAUAAUGAAAGGAAAAUAAUAUCAAAAACAGGUGAAGAAUAGAAGCCAUUGACAUAUGCAUAAAAAUUCCAUCUGCCUAGUAUCAAGACCCAGAAGAGAGAAAGCAUAAGAUAUCGCCAAAAUUUCCCUUUCUCCUAUCAUUACCUAUUAAACUUUAAUAAUCCUUCUGUUUCCUUUUGUAGAAAACAAUGUGAACACUGUGAAGCGUCUCUCUGAGGAGCAAUGUUGUCAAAGGUAAGUAACAUGAUGUUUUGUACAUUCCACAACGGAAAAAACAAAAAAAGCACAGCUUAAGGAUAAGAUAUAGUACUUUGCCUAAAACAGAAAUAGUAACAAAAAACUUUCAAUUCUCUCAAUUUUCAAUUCUCUUUCAAUGAUACAUUGAUUUUGCGAGCAUUAGCAGAACAGUUUAUUUCCAAAUAAAAUUAAUAACUGGGUAUCAACCUUUGCAUCACUCAUUUUCCUCUAGCUUGAUAGCUUUACUUACUGCUUACUUCUAAAUGGUGAAGAUCAAUACUAUGUCUAAAUCUGUAUAACAAGGCUGUUUAGUUUUUAGCAAAGAAAUCAUAUGACUUUGUCACCACUUUAUUUUAUUUGGUUAGAUUUAGUUAUGUUUGAUUAUUUCUAUUUCUCCUCAGUCUAUUAAACAUAGAACUGACAAAUCUUACAGGAAUUAUUUUGUGAGUUGAAAUAUUUCUUGCUAUCCAAAUCCUUGCUAAAUUUAGGAAAAUGCGAUGAUCUUUGUUUAUCUUUUAGGAUAACUUGAGCAGACAUGACACAAUUACAAGAGGGCAACUCCCUGCCAUCAAAUUUCCAACAACAAGGCAUGCUGCAGAUGUUAUAUACACCAAAGUCCAAAACCCUGGUUUUAAUAAGUUUGAAAAUGUUGAUUGUAUGUUCCCACUGUUUGAUUGUCAUGCUGCAAUGUCUACCCUUGAAUCCAAGGCUAAUGGUUACAAUGCAAUAAAAGCUUGGGGAAAGUGCUACUCUAUUAAGGACCUUGGAAACAUGAUUACUGCCCAUAAACUUAUGAAGGUAAAGACUGAUGUAGAGCAGGAAAUGCAAUGGUUUCAGAAAGAACCUCAACCACCGACCCAAGCUUGCAUCAUUCCUGACAACAUGGUAGUCAAAGCAUUUGAUGAAAUGUUGUUAUCAAAUCCAAAUGGGAAAGUGUUAUAUGGCAAAUGCACAUUAACAGAAGAUCUUGCUACUUUUUGCUGCUCACGAUGGGUCUCACUUCAAGCCAUUGAUGCAAUUAUCUCAAUAAUCAACGAGAUGAACCCAAAGCGAAAAGUAAUCUUGCAUGGAAUCAUCAGGGGCAUGUCUGUGCAUGCACGCAACACGGCCCAAAGAGAGCCCGAAAUUCAAAACUCAAAGCCUUAAUUCAGCUGCUCUUUGAAAAAAAUGGCAAACAGUUAUAUUUGUCUCCGAGCCAAUUCAAGAUCUCUAAAAAGCGAAAGAAAACCUUGAUAUUGAGAGAGAUAUUGAAACUAUCACAGUUUGCCUCCUUGAGCUGGAAGACAUUGACAUAAAGCACAAUGGCAAUAACAUAAUUACAAAAGUUUUGUAAUUUGUUUUCGCUUUAUUCAUUUUACUUUUUGUCUUAUAAAACCUCUCUAUCAUGCGAUAAUAUGCCUAAUUUGCUUCUCUCAUUACUUGAUCACCAGGUAAGUAUGUAUUGCAACCCUGAUAUCUAUUUAGCUACCUUAAUGAAAACCUCAGUUCUAAAAGCCAAUCUAAGUCGCAUUUCCGCAUUUUGCAUUCAAUUCAUUGCAGAAAUUCAUUUCAACAGAAACUUUAUCGAAUAUCCAAUUGAGUUUCAAGAUCUUAACCUCAAGAAUAUAACGCUUGUUUCAAUUAAAUUCCAAGGUUACAGCCCAGUCAGGAUAUUAUAAUAUUUUUAAGUCGGUUUAGUUUUAGGAUCAAACUUGUCACACACUUAACACUAUGAAAGUUAUAAUUUCUAAAUUAAGGCCCUUCCUUCUGGGUAAAAAUCUUUCUUUUCUCAAUUGUGAACCAUUUUUCAUUUUUGUGCCCUCUUAUGUAGAAUUUAUCAGAUAAUUUAAUGAUGUUUUCAUUUUCUAUCGGUUGUACUUCAAAAACUUGAAAAAAGUUCAUUUCUCAAUACUGGUUGAUACUGGAAAUGACUUUUUGAAGAAAAAAAUAUCCUUUGAUGAUGACUUACCCUAUUUUUCAUUCCCUCUCCCAUCUAAACACUAUAAAGCUUUGGUUACCUUGUGUUACACAUUCUUUCUGCUGUUGAACACCCUGUGAUAUCAUUACCCUAUGCAAAUGAAAAUUGGUCGAUCUGCUGGCAUGCUCAAUCUUUGUAAAUAACUGUUGGAUAUUUUCACCUUUAGUCAAAUUUUUUGAUAAGUAAUGCGACAAACUAAGAAUAACCAAUUCAAGGGAACUCAGCAUCAAUUUAUAAAAGAAGACGUGGACUCCAAGAUAGCUGAAAAGUUCAGCAUCAGCUGAUCGGCCUAGGCCUUUGCCUGGCACACUCACAAAUUUUGUUGCUGUUGAAGGAAGUAGGAUAGUAGAUAUGAAGUUGUUGCAGGACCCACUAACAGAGGCCUAUCUUUGCUCUGGAGGAUUGAAAGCGACAAGGCUGAUGAAGUCGACAAACUGGCAACUUUAGCUGCUGUUGAGUCAGGUCUUAGAAGAGAAGGACUUGCUGACAUAACUUCAAUUCUAAAUAUCCCUCCUCCUGUCAGUGAUUCCAAUUUCUCAAACCAUUUGUCAAAGCUUCUUUGUGUUUCAAGAUCAGUAUGUAAUGAACACAUGACAAAUGCUGCCCAGCCCAACGACUUAUAAAUAACCUCAACAGUGAACUAGAAGUGGAAAAUAAUACAGUUUUCAAUUUUGCUGUCUCUUAUCAUGGUACAAGGUCCAAGAGGGGUUUCACAGCUUACCAUGGUGUUGGAGCUGUGAUGUCAGUUGAUACUGGAGAAGUGCUGGAUAUUGAGGUUCUCGCUAAAGUUUGUGAGAUCUGCAAACAAAACAAGGCUAGAAAAGAUGAAUCAGCCUUUGAGAAAUGGAAGACCAAUCAUAAAGCAGAAGGUUCAUGCCAGGCAAAUCAUGAGAGUUCAAGUCCAAACAUGGAAACAGAGGCAGCCUAUCGAUUAUGGGGCAGAUCUAUCCAACAACAUAAUCUUAGAUACAAAUGGAUUAUCAGUGAUGGUGACAGUAAAGCAUAUCAGAAAGUUUCAGAGAUCUAUGGGAUAUCUGAGACAAACAAAGUUGAAAAGUUGGACUGUAUUGGGCAUGUUGGGAAGGGAUGUAUAGGGCUUUAAAUGGGAGCAAAACUACAACUAAGGGGAAGUUGUUGGCAAACCAGUUGGGGAAAGGAAAGGAUGCCUAACAGAGCAAGUUGCUAGAAGGCUCAGUGAAUUAUAUAGGAAUGGAAUUAGGCAGAAUGUGGACCCAGAAGCAAAGACAGAGGAGCAAAAAAAAGCUGACAUUGAAAACCUGCAAAAAACAUUAAAGCAGUUCUGUACCGCUCUGUUAAAAUUACAAAUGCAGAGAGAAGACAUCAGUACUCCCCAGAAAAGUUCUGGUGCGAACAUAAGAAAGUUGGUGAAAAUGAGGAGAAAGACUAUCAUUUGGAUCCGCCUUUUCUAGAACUUCUACAACCAACAUUUGAUAGAAUAUCUGAAGACAAGCUGGUUGUCAGGUUUCUCUCAGAAUCAAAAUGAGAGAUUGAAUAGUCCCAUUUGGAAGCACGCUCUGAAGCAUACCUGGCAAGGUCCAAAAGGGUAAAACUUGCUGCUUAUCUGAAAGUUCUACAUUUUAAUAAUGGCGAUUAUGCAGUAAAAACUGCUAUCUUGUCCUAUAUGGAAAUAAAUUCUUCAAAAUGGCUUGUAGAUUCAGCAAGUAGAAAAGAUCAAAAAAGGCUAUACAGAGCCAGACGUUAUACAGAAGAUUUAGUAAAACAAAAGAGAAAGUCACUUGUGUUGGAGAAUCAAGCGUCUGAAGAGAGACAAAUAGAAAAUGAAGGUAUAACCUACAAAAGUGGAUUGUUUUGAUCUUCAGAUACUUUUGAGAUUUUCAAAGAACAUUAUCUUAGAUAUUUAAACCUUUCUCCAGUUACUGUUCUUCAAUAGGAAAGCAACAUUUCCCACACAAUAUAUUGCUAAACUUCAAAGCCUAUCUUCUCCUAAUGUGAUUUUUAGAUACCUGUCAUGAUUCAAAUUGCUGAGGCUUUUAAAUAGUAAAACAUUUUGUGUUCAAAUUUGGAGAGGUUGUCUAUAAUUAAAUUUAUCUUCAUCUUAUUGAGAAUUUUUCAUGGGACUUUGGAAAAGGAACCUUGGACCGAGUAAACAUUUGAUAAUGUAUAUCUAUGGUUAAAAAAAGAUAUCAGAAAACUCUCAAUAGGAUUUUUCCUUGCUGUAGAUUUGUCCAAAUUUUAUUAUAUUAUCUCUUUAAUUUAAGGUUACGGUAAACGUUUUGAACACGAAAAUUGGUUUUUCCUUCCUAAAGGCCAAACGGCUCAAGAAAUCUGGAUAAACUAUAUAUCAUUUGAUGCACAAGAUUAUGGCGUAUCUAGCCAGAUAAAAAUUAUUGGCAAAUAAUGUGAAAUGUUAUUUCCCAUGCGAAUUUACUGGUCAAAAAGUGUACCACCUUCAAAAGCUAUUAUGUACCCUUGCGUUUGAGGUAACAAAAUCUGACUUACACCAGCAGGAAGUGCAGGUCCUAAGCUACCAAAGUGUGUCUCAGAUUUUUUAAAUUCCUCCUCUUUAUGAAACUAUACCCUGUCAAAAAUUGGCAAAUAAUUUUUCCACCCUCCCACAACUGUAUUUGGGUAUAAAAGACGGACCAGAGAAAAUAAAAAAAUUUUGAGACACCCUUUGUUUGCCCAACGUCUGCCCUGGCCGUGUGCAAAUUUUCGAGCCAUUCAAUUGGUUCCUUGGGUACAUAAUAGCUUUUUCGUACCUGCAUGUAGAGGAAUUUCGAGUCCGGAGAAAACGGGAUUUUACUGAUCGCACUUGCAAGAUACACUCGUAAACCACAGUCUAAUCCGGGUCAAGUCACUUGAAGAUUUAAGAUCAAUAAGCCUGUUUAAAUAAACACGGCCGUACAUUGGAUAUAUGGAUGUGCCAUGCGAUAUUGUAAAUGAGACAUGCGACCACAACCGCAAAGCAACGAUAACCAGCUUAACAGGUCAAGAGAUUUUCAGGCCUCAACUAAAAGUUUUGAUAAAGAAAUUAUGGAAACCUUUGGUUACAUGGGAUUUUUUCAACUUCAAAAUUUUUGUUUGUUUCAAAUUUGGUAUCACUGUAUGCCUUGAAAGUUCGGCUACUUGAAUGUGAAAAAAUCGAAAAAAUGAUGUUUUCAUCAAGAAAACGUUUACCGUAACCUUAAAGAGUUCUGUUAAUGAUAUCUGACAUCAGCAAAUAGAAAGCCAUGGUUUUGUAACCAUAACAACAACUAAUUAAAAAGUGUUGGCUAUGUUUUAUUUUUGUAAAAUUCUUUCAAAGACCUUUCAAAUGAUGCAUUGUGAAAGAUGUUCACACAAGGGAACAUUGAUCUGCUUUUUUAAAAGUAGACAAUUGACCCAGAAGCGGGGCCUUAAGUUGGUAUUGAUAUCGAAACAUCCAUAAAAUUUGAUGGCUGCACUCCAAAGCGGUGGUUGCACUGGACAGUGACUUGAUAUUUAACAAAACAGCUGUGAAUGAACAGAGAUAUUGCCCCCCAGGUUUCACUGUUUCUGGAAACAGGGAAGCAAAAAUAACAACGGGUAGUAUCCAGCAUGACAUAGGAGGAAUAUAAACCCAUGUAAGAAAGCAGCUAAGGAAAUAAGAGACAUGCUUAAAGAUUUUCUAAUUCUCUUGAAGGUGCUGUGCCAUGAGUUUGUUAACAAAUGACAAGUUUGGCUGACAGAAACAUUUUUGGAAAGAGGUUUGGCUGUAUAAAUCCCAUAAAUUUUCCUAAAAUCUCUUUGGCCUGGUAAUAAUUGAUUGAAGGCAGAAAGCUACUUUGGUUUAUAAAAAAUCAAUUUGCCUUCAUUGAAUCCAUUGCAACCACAUCAACAUGUCUAUAUUAUUUUUAAAAGACCUGAAUGAAGACAGACUGACUGUAAUUUUACUGACACCAACCUUUCAAUUCAAAAAACCUUUUGAUAACUGAGCUUGAUGCAUCAGUUGCUAUUUCACCAAGGUCAAGUUUGCUCAUCAGUCUAUGUAGAAAGAGCCCCUUUCCAUGUUACUUGACACACCACCUGUUUUUUUCCCAUAACCCCUUCGCAACUAGGCCUUCCCUGCUGUCUCUUUGGUUUAGCUUCUAUCCGUAAUUGAACUUCUACCAAUUACCGCUGGUCGAAUGCACGUAGGUGCUUAGGCCAAAAUUUAUUUUAGAUAAUCAGAAAUUCAGCUGUGCUGCAAAGGGGUCUUGAUGACAAUGGCUUGUUAAACGUGAUGACAAUGGCUUGUUAAACAUGACAAAGCUCUGAAGCGAGGUGAUUCAGAAAGAUGUGUAUCAGGACACAGUAUUGUUAUGCAUAAACGGAGGGACUGAAAUCAGUGAGAUAAAGCACAAACAAAAGAAUGGCUCAAGAAAGAUUUUUAGUUGCCCAAAAGCACUCAUCAGUUACAACAAUAACAUGAGUAGAGUUCAUAAGGCAGAUUUUACUGUGCAAUUUGUGGCAUCAACAGAAAAAAAAAGAAAUGGUGGAAAAAAACUUUUUUGGCCUUAUUGACAGAACCAUCACAAAUGCCUAUAUCACAUUCUGUAAGGCUACUGAGCAGAAGAUUCCAAGCCUGCUCUUCUGUAAUGUGACACUUGCCCUUCUCACACUAGGAAAGCCUUAUAAAAUUUGCCCAUGACACAUCCCUGUUCAUUGAAAUCCUUCUUUUUAAUAGAUAUAUAUGUUUAUAACAUUGAAACAUAAAGGUCUACCAUAUAGGUUUUGAAUGUUUUGUUCAUUAUAACAACAUGACGACUUUAUCAUCAAUUUGUUCCAUGUAUAUGUCCGGGUUUAACGAAUUUUUCAUUACAUAGUCAAAUGAGGUUAUUAGAUUAGAGCAAUCAGGACUUAGCAGUAUCUUGUGACUUUCUGACUCAGUUAUUCUGUUUACCUUAUUUCCUUAUUGCUUAUAACAGUUACACUGAAGCUUGAGCUAUUUGACGUAAAUUGAAUGCAGCAUUGUCAUUGGUAAUUUAUUUUGCAUUAACUAUAGUAUAUAUAGAUCGUAAAGGGUUUGUUUAUGUGGGUGCAACUGGCAGUGACUUUGCAGACUUAGCUGAUAUGUUGAUAAAUGAUCUGUGAAAAGCAGAGAUGAAUGCUUCUUUGGUGUCUUCUCUUAAACAAAAAGUUCAAAAGAAUCAGCAAGGAUAAAUCCUGACAGGUCAAAAAAUCUGGUCCAUCGAUCCUGCAUGUAUUUGUGUUCUACUGAAUGAACCAUGGAUGGAUUGAAGUAGAAGAGAAAUAUUGGAGGAAGGCGUAAAGCUUUUGCAACAUAGGUAAUCAGGCAAAUUGAGGAUAAUUUGGAUGAUAAAUCAAAGUUGAAGCAGCUUGAGAUACAGGUAGACGAAAAAUACUGGCUACCCCCAACAAGUUAUUCGCAGGUAACAGUUUUAUUUACAAGAGUGCAGUUCAUCAAAAAGACCAUAUUUCAAAGAUUGAUAAGUUCUUGUACUUGAAGAAUUACUUGGAAGAACCUGCCAAAAAAGUAAUAGCUUGUUUUUCUUCAAGUGAAAAUAACUAUGUCAGAGCUUUCAAUAUCCUGGAACAGAGAUCUCUAACCAACCUCAAUAAAAGGGAACAUAUCAAUAAGCUUCUAAAUGUAGAUGUUGUUUUUAAUGAGAAACAUGUUACGAGGAGGCUCAAACUUUAUGACACUAGUCCCCAUCAUGAAUUGAGACCCUUAGGAGUUGAGUAAACAUCAUAUUCGGACAAAUGUGUACAUGUUUUAACAAAGGUUACAGAGGCUUUUUGUCUGAGCAUGAUUCGAGGAAGGAAGAAUCAGGGUUGUCGCAAGGCAAGGCUUGUUGGGAGGGUGUGGACUGAAAAUUAACCUAAAUAUAAAAUUUUUGCCUGGAAUUCUUUAGUUGCUGUCACAAACAUCUGAAAUGCAUUUUGUCAAUCUAACUCUGUAAAUAAUUCGCAACCCCUUUUAAACCCCUUGUAAAUAAUUCGCAAGCUCUACCCUUCUAGAAGAUAAUGUUGAGAUGGUUGUAAAGGUAAUAAAAAACCCAAGCAAUCUUAAAAGGAGUAUUUUCAGUACACUUGCAAAAGUUAAGAAUAAUUUUUCCAAAAUAUAUUAGCCCAUUUAUAAGAUUGCUGAUGCAGGCAAAACCUCUGAUUGCUUUGUUUUGAAAAGCAGGGGGAUCUCCUUGAAUUUUUUAGACUCUUUGAGCAAGGGAAAUGCUGUUUUGCCUAAUGACGCCAAGGUUAAACUUAAUGCGUCUUGGAUUAACUUCAAAAACUGGGUUUGUAUAUUUUGUUGUGAUGAUAAUGAAAUAAUUUUUUAGGAAAGUCUUCGCACAGCAGUUUUAAAAGUGAAGAAAAGAGUUACUGACCUCAAAAAGCACCAACAAAAGCAAGAUGUAAACAUUUUUCUUAAUGAUUUUUUAUUAAACCAGUUAAUAGAUAUGAGAAAAGAAAGCAUGAGUUAGUUUCAGGUGUGUCAAAUUCUCAGCACAUUAAUGUUAAAGAGAAAACAACGAUGAUUACAAUGUUAUUAGAAAGGUUAGAUGAAAUUGAAGUUAGAAUAGGUUAGUUAAUUGAUAGAUUGAAUGAGCAGAAAUAUAGAAGAAUACUUGCAGAAGGCAAUGCUGAGAAAAUUUAAGAUGGAGUUCAAUGAUGCUGUCAAUGAUUUGAAGGCUAGGGAGGAGGUGUUAAAAGAUCUUGUUGGGAAAAUUGAUACAUUAUAUGCAAAGAAUAAUAAUCAGAAGAUAAAAAGAAUACGCCAGAUGCAUAAUAAAUUAGAAGAAGAGGAGAAAGAAGAUGUGCUUGUAGAUUUAUCCACAGAGUUACUUGACAGAGAUGAAGAGCUUGCAGAGAAAGACCAGGAGAUAGACAAACUAGUAGAAAAUCUAAACAAAGCCAUCCAUGAAAAAUUAUCUGCACAAAAAAAUUAAAACUCAUUAGAAAACACAAUUAAGAAAUAAAUCUAUUGAAAAUAGCAUCAAUAUAUUUAAUUCAAAGAUUGAUGAUUUGGAAGAAAGAAUAACUGAAUUUGAGAAUGAGAAGUUGUAAAGAUUAAAUGUUUUUUGAAGGGACAUGAGAUUUAUUUUUAUGAAAAUGGGAAAUUUGUUGAUGAGAUUCGUAUGCUGUAUGAAGACCUGCUUUGUUUAGGUGUUAGCACGAAUAAUGUUGAGAUGUUAUUAGGAAAUGUAUGAAAGUUGUUGAAGUCAAUGUCCAUAAUCUGCCAAAGUCCACAUUUGAUAAGUAUAUGCUCUAUGAGCAUUGGCACAGCUUCAUGUUUUUGAUGAAUUAAAAGAAAAGUGGAGCACAGAGAACAGGACUUUGCUUUCUGAUGGAACUUAAAGGAAAGGCAGAUCAUUUAUAACGUAUGAUAUUGUCAAAUAUGAUGGAGUAUGUUUAAUAACUGGCCUGAGGGAAAUUGCAAGUGAAGAUUCUGCUACACAGAUAAAAGUUUUGCAAGAUGUACUUGGUGAUGUUUGUUUGAUGUUUCUUUCCUUGUUUCAGGAAAGAUGUUUUGCCAAGUGUUGUUGAGGGUUCGGAGUCUCUGACUAAUCGAUGUUGGGAAUUUUGGUCUUGUUGUUGAUGGUUGGGUUAAGAAAAUUAUAAAAAGUAUAAAGAAUGUGAUGUCAGAUCAUUAUGCUGUUCAAACAAAGUUUGAUAAUUUGUUUACUUGUUUCAGAAAAGAUGUUUUGCAAAGUGUUGUUGAGGGUUGGGAGUCUCUGACUAAUAUGGAAAAAGCUAAGUUAAGUAGAGUGAACAAGUUUUUUUGGGUUACACUAUCUUGUAGCACUAGCAGAUCAAGCAGAGGCUUGUUGCAAAAUUUGGGAUUCUUUGUGUUGGGAGGACAAUAAAAUUAGUUCUUUGGCAACCUUGGGGUACAGCAAAGGUGAAUCAAGGACAUACAGGUUGAUCCAAACUGUUUGUAAAUCAGUGCAAGAGAGAGGAUGCGAGAGGUCUGGACAGAUGAUCAAUUUUAAAACCUUUUUAGAGCAAGAAAGAAAUCUUAAUGGAAUUCCUUUGGCACCAUUUUUUGGUAAUUGCUUCAAUAUUUUAUUUCACAAUGCUACUGGAACUUAUUUUUUAGAAGAACAUUUGAAGAUUUUUUUAGCCUUAUGGGAAAGAGAACAAGCUUCUCACAGCAAUUAAAUACGUUCUUGAAGUUACAUCCUUUCUAUUAGCAUGCAGAUCUCUAGGUAUCAUAGAUAAAUUAAUAACUCGACCAGUCUGGAGAGCAAAUAUUGUAAUCGAUUCAAUAUUUUAUUCCACAAUGCUACUGGAACUUAUUUUUUAGGAGAACAUUUGAAGAUUUUUUUAGCAUUAUGGGAAAGAGAACAAGCUUCUCACAGCAAUUAAAUAAGAUCUUGAAGUUACAUCCUUUCUAUUAGCAUGCAGAUCUCUAGGUAUCAUAGAAAAAUUAAUAACUGGACCAGUCUGGAGAGCAAAUAUUGUAAUCGAUUCAAUAUUUUCACAAUGCUACUGGAACUUAUUUUUUAGGAGAACAUUUGAAGAUUUUUUUUAGCAUUAUGGGAAAGAGAACAAGCUUCUCACAGCAAUUAAAUAAGAUCUUGAAGUUACAUCCUUUCCAACAGCAUGCGGAGCUUUAGGUAUCAUAGAUAAAUUAAUAACUGGACCACUCUGGAGAGCAAUUUCAAAAGAUGGACAUAUUUUA